rnacentral:rRNA from 1 species
GGAUGCGAUCAUACCAGCACUAAAGCACCGGAUCCCAUCAGAACUCCGAAGUUAAGCGUGGUUGGGCGAGAGUAGUACUAGGAUGGGUGACUUCCUGGGAAGUCCUCGUGUUGCAUUCC